AUACGGAGGGUGCAAGCGUUACUCGGAAUUACUGGGCGUAAAGCGCGCGUAGGCGGUUUUGUAAGUCGGAUGUGCAAGCCCAGGGCUCAACCUUGGAAUUGCAUUCGAAACUGCAUAACUAGAGUAUGGUAGAGGUAAGUGGAAUUCCAGGUGUAGCGGUGAAAUGCGUAGAUAUCUGGAGGAACAUCAGUGGCGAAGGCGACUUACUGGACCAAUACUGACGCUGAGGUGCGAAAGCGUGGGGAGCAAACAGGAUUAGAAACCCCGGUAGUCC
rnacentral:rRNA from 1 species